AAUUACGGCUACAGCCAUAUGAGUACGCCUGAUCUCGUCCGAUCUCGGAAGCUAAGCAGGGUCGGGCCUGGUUAGUACUUGGAUGGGAGACCGCCUGGGAAUACCAGGUGCUGUAAGCU
rnacentral:rRNA from 1 species